rnacentral:tRNA from 1 species
GCGGGUGUAGUUCAAUGGUAGAACAUCAGCCUUCCAAGCUGAUUGUGAGAGUUCGAUUCUCUUCACCCGCUCCA